GGAGAAUCAUCUCUUUCUACAGUUAAAAAUAACAUUAAUUGAAGAAUAUAAUUAAUAAUUAUAAGUGUUUGUAUUUCCUAUAACCUCUCAUCCAAGCAGUCAAUUAGUGAAAUAUUACUCUCACGUAACCCCAACAACGAUGAAAAAAAGUCCCAUUUUAUCUUUCUCCUCCUUCGCAGCAUUUCUUAUUCUUCUUCCUCCUCCUACGCAUUGCUGCUGCUGCUUCUUCUCGUUCACUGUUUGUCUUUCAUUUUUCCUUCUGCUUCUUUCUUUUUCCUGUUCUUUCUCGAAACCCUAUUUUAGUAAAUGGGAACGCAUACCAAAACAUUCUAGAACGCCGAAGUACCAUGCUUUGGUACACAUGUACGCAGAAAGGUAAGCGAAUUAGGUAACCAUGGGGACCACUCCAACAUCUAGGGAGGCAUCUUCCUAGAAUAGUCACCAAAUAAAUAAGCCAGAUGCCGUUAAUUUGUCCAAAAAUAAGUUUAUCGCUUAGCUUUUAUGUUAAAAUUCAACAGUCUUUUCAUUUUAUUUCCUUAUUUGAUGUCACAUUAACAUUUUUUAUGAAUUGACUAAGUAAUAGGAAUAGUGUUAUGCUUGCAUGGGCUUGCCCCUAACAUAAAGCUAACCCCAUGUAAUAUUAUAUCUUCACGUUUAUUGAAUUGUUUCAAAGUUUCAUUCUCUUUUGACAUUGUCAUUCAAUCUUUUUUUUGUUUUUCCUUUUUUCACUGUUUUUUAAAAAAUUACACCAACAUCUUGUUGAUUAUCAAUGAUUUUAAAGUCUCUAUAUGAAUGUUAAUGCUGAAUUUUUUUUUUUUUUAAGUUUAAAACUAUCAAUGAGGCAAACCAUGUUAGCUCCUAUGUCCAGAAGUUCUCCUACUCAAAAUCAUUGCCAACAAUGAGCAGCUGGGAUUUGAAAAGAGGGAAAACAGAGGGGGAAAAAGGAUAAAACAGAACUUCUACACACAUAUAUCAUAAAGGACCAUAAAAAUUGCAUGAACAAAUACCCAAGUUCGGUUUUAUGGUAGCCCUCCUCCUGAGUUGCUUCUUUGAAUGGGCAAACUUUAUACACAUACUUGUCCUGCUUGGUUUCAAAGCACUGAUCAUACAACAAAUAGAAUUCCUUGUGUGUACCAAAGUCAUGUUUUAACUUUUCUGUCAAACUUGUUAUUCUUGCCUCUAUAUCAGACAACCUUGAAGUGGUGUCAUCAUGAUCCUUCCGAACACGAUCUGCAUCUAGUUUAUCUACAAGAGGUGGAGAAAGAUUAACCAAUUGAAAUAUAUUCCGUAUGGUAUCCUUUAUCUUUUCCAACCAUGAUGAACUCCUCAAAGUGUUUAUCCCAUAUAAAUCUUUUGGCUCUUCUAAGCCAGACUUGCACAUGGAACAGGGACCAUCAAAAUCAUUUCCUACAGACAAUUUCUUGUCAUUAUUGUUAUAAAAAAUUUCAUUAUUAGUGCUCUCUGAAGUCUCACUGCUGCCUCCAUCGUUACUUUUAGCAGGAACAAUUUCAUUUUCCUGGUGUCCAGUUUUUCCUCCUGUCCAGCGUGAAGCAACAAGACGACCCAGCUCUUCUUUUGAUAACCUCUCUGUGCUUUCAGAUCCAUCUUUCAGCAACCCCUCCGUAUUUUCAUAUUCAUCUUUGUCACGCUUAUUUAGUGAAGAUUCAUCUGACAGACCAAUGUUGCCAUCACCUGAGCUUGAGCUUUCCUUUUGGUCACCAUCAGAUUUAUCACCAGACUUGGCUUGAUCCUCAGCAAGUUUUUCCAUCUUUUCUUCUUUUUCUUUGCUCUCCUUUUCUUCCGCCUUCUCAAUUUGCUCCUUGUGUACUUUGAGCUGUUUAACAAGUCCUUCAAGAAUAUUCUUUUCAUUUUUCAGUUUCGACAGUUCCUCUCUUUCAUUGGCUAGCACUUGUUUUGCUUGUUCAAUUGCCUUUUUCCGUAAGGUGACACCUUCUUUAAACAUGUCAAUCUUUCUCUGCAACUUAUCCCUGGCCACUUUGCCAGCCUCCCAGCAUGUAUUUGGACAGUUCAUUUUACCAUCAUACUCAUCGCUCCCAUCACAACAAUCACAGAUGCCAUCAUUCACCCUUGAGGAAGGUAAUGAAACAGGAAGAUGCCCAGCAUUCCGACAAUAGAACUUUCCCUGCGGACAUGCUGAUGUUCCAGGUUCGUCAGUCCCAUCAGGACAAUCACAGAAGUCAUCAUUGAGUUGAGCUCUAGUGAACUUCUUGGAUCCGUUCUUGCACUUUAGAGUAUCCGUUUUGAAGUAAUCCUCAUCUUGAGGAGGGAUUCCGAGGAGAGAAACAGAAGGAGAAGAAGAUGAUUGGGUAAGGGAAAUCAGAGAGAAAAUGCCAAUCAGAAGAGAGAAACAAAGGAUAUUGAUUUUCAUUUCGGGUAGUGCAUAUAUCUAUCUAAGAACAUAAACGAUUCUGCAAAAGAAUUGUUGAAGCAACCAAUA
rnacentral:misc_RNA from 1 species